rnacentral:rRNA from 1 species
GGGCGGGCGCAGCCUACACAUGCAAGUCGAGCGGAUGAAGGGAGCUUGCUCCUGGAUUCAGCGGCGGACGGGUGAGUAAUGCCUAGGAAUCUGCCUGGUAGUGGGGGAUAACGUCCGGAAACGGGCGCUAAUACCGCAUACGUCCUGAGGGAGAAAGUGGGGGAUCUUCGGACCUCACGCUAUCAGAUGAGCCUAGGUCGGAUUAGCUAGUUGGUGGGGUAAAGGCCUACCAAGGCGACGAUCCGUAACUGGUCUGAGAGGAUGAUCAGUCACACUGGAACUGAGACACGGUCCAGACUCCUACGGGAGGCAGCAGUGGGGAAUAUUGGACAAUGGGCGAAAGCCUGAUCCAGCCAUGCCGCGUGUGUGAAGAAGGUCUUCGGAUUGUAAAGCACUUUAAGUUGGGAGGAAGGGCAGUAAGUUAAUACCUUGCUGUUUUGACGUUACCAACAGAAUAAGCACCGGCUAACUUCGUGCCAGCAGCCGCGGUAAUACGAAGGGUGCAAGCGUUAAUCGGAAUUACUGGGCGUAAAGCGCGCGUAGGUGGUUCAGCAAGUUGGAUGUGAAAUCCCCGGGCUCAACCUGGGAACUGCAUCCAAAACUACUGAGCUAGAGUACGGUAGAGGGUGGUGGAAUUUCCUGUGUAGCGGUGAAAUGCGUAGAUAUAGGAAGGAACACCAGUGGCGAAGGCGACCACCUGGACUGAUACUGACACUGAGGUGCGAAAGCGUGGGGAGCAAACAGGAUUAGAUACCCUGGUAGUCCACGCCGUAAACGAUGCCGACUAGCCGUUGGGAUCCUUGAGAUCUUAAGUGGCGCAGCUAACGCGAUAAGUCGACCGCCUGGGGGAGUACGGCCGCAAGGUUAAACUCAAAUGAAAUUGACGGGGGCCCGCACAAGCGGGGGAACCAUGUGGUUUAAUUCGAAGCACGCGAAGAACCUUACCUGGCCUUGACUGCUGAGGCUUUCCCAGAGAUGGAUUGGUGCUUCGGAACUCAGACCAGGGGCUGAUGCUGGCGUCACUCCGGGCCGGGAA